rnacentral:rRNA from 1 species
GACGAACGCUGGCGGCGUGCCUAAUACAUGCAAGUAGAACGCAGUUUCGCACGGGUGAGUAACGCGUAGGUAACUUCCUCAUAGCGGGGGAUAACUAUUGGAAACGUUAACUAAUACCUCAUACUGUGAGCUGAACCUGCGUUGUAUUAGCUAGUUGGUGAGGUAAAGGCUCACCACGACGACGAUCCAUAGCCGACCUGAGAGGGUGAUCGGCCAAACUGGGACUGAUACACGGCCCAGACUCCUACGGGAGGCAGCAGUAGGGAAUAUUCGGCAAUGGACGGAAGUCUGACCGAGCAACGCCGCGUGAGUGAAGAAGGUUUUCGGAUCGUAAAACUCUGUUGUUAGAGAAGCGGUAUCUAACCAGAAAGCCACGGCUAACUACGUGCCAGCAGCCGCGGUAAUAC